rnacentral:rRNA from 1 species
UACGGAGGGGGCUAGCGUUGUUCGGAAUUACUGGGCGUAAAGCGCGCGUAGGCGGCCAACUAAGUCAGACGUGAAAUCCCUCGGCUUAACCGGGGAACUGCGUCUGAUACUGGAUGGCUUGAGGUUGGGAGAGGGAUGCGGAAUUCCAGGUGUAGCGGUGAAAUGCGUAGAUAUCUGGAGGAACACCGGUGGCGAAGGCGGCAUCCUGGACCAAUUCUGACGCUGAGGAGCGAAAGCCAGGGGAGCAAACGGG